UUGACCAGGGGGAGCGGAAGCGCGGCUUGGCAGGGCUGGAUGGGUGGGCGGAGCGGGCGAGGGGCCUGGGGUGGGGGCUUCGGGGAAGGAGGAAAAAGGGGAAGCUCCGACGAGUUGCUUCCUUCUCGCACUGCGCCCCAGCGCCCCACUUCCUCCUCCUACUUCUAUUUUCUACGGGUGCUCUUAACCUUUAAAAUGCCUGCACCCCUGCUGUGCACACGGGCCCGCGACCCUCGCCCUUCGUCCUUGGGCAGAAAUCUUUCCAGAUAUACCAGCCCAUCCAGACUUUCGGCUCGGCUGCCCCAGCCUCUGGUCUGACUUCCUCACCGUCCAUCACCAGUGGCUGUGACUGCAGCCAUUUCUCCUGAAGGCGGGGAGGGGUCGUCUCCAGGAUCCAGGCCCUCUUCUGGCGCCCUCCCCCGCCCGUUCUCCCCACAGGCCACGCGGGCAGAUGUGUUUUUUUACCCGGAGCUGGAAGAACUCUUAGGGAUCCCGGAAAUCACUGCUCUUCCCCAUGCCUCCGUUUCCUCGUUACAAAUUAGGAAUGAGAAGGUUGGCUGCUGUGUUGUGCGAGCAGCUCUGGCGACGAAAGAAUAGCAGUUUAUUUCAGAGGUCACAAAGGGCGAGGCUGGAAUUUCCAUUUUCACUCUUGAAUGGGACUUGUGUCACAAUAUCUGUUAGAGGCAUUCGAAAUCGGCCUCAAGAUCAGCCGUUAGUGUUGUCAGAAGCCACAGCCCUACCUGAGGCUUUGAGAGAUGGGACUGCCAAUGAUUUUUCUUCUCCUGACUCACUCAAUACCAAGAAAAGGCAACUUCCCCAAAAACACAGAAACAGAAAGUACUCGUGAAUGAGCACAGAGAACUGGUCCCAGCCUCUGUUAGAGAAGGGAAGGCGCUCAGAACCAUCGAGCACUUCUACUCUUGCAUGGACCACCCAGAGCACCCACCCCCCACCGUUUUACAAACAAGGAACCAGAGCCACAAAGUCUGUGAGAAGACAUCCUGGGGGUCUUUCAUCUUGAGAAGGCUCUGUCUGUGUCUCCCUACCCCAAGAGGGCAGAACAACCAGGAGAUCUGAUCAGCACUUGACAGCUAUUGGCCAGGACUUCGAACUACAGCCACCCAGGACUGGAGCAGGGUCAAGAGCUAAACAGCCCAGAUUCAAGGACAAAACUAGCGAGAUGGUGUUGGUUUGCUAGAUAGAGUAUGGUAUUUCAUGAUAGCAUUGUGGGUGCUCUCUGCCUCCUGAAACAAGCCCAAUGGACAUGUCAGACCCCCCCCCUCCUUUUUCUUUCCCCUACACAUCUUUUUCAUAUUCUUCUUACUAGUUUUUUAGCUGGUGGCAUCUCAUGUUGUAUCUUUUCAACAGGCACAGUUUGUGUAUUGAGCAUUAUAGGAAUAUUCUUCACUUCCCCUGAGAAUUAUGUGUGCUUCCGUUUCUCCUGAAGCUCAUUUCCCUCUUGGUCUCUUGUUUUUCCGCAUUUGCUAGGGACAUGAUUACACACUUUCACCUAAUUCCAUUAUAAGAAAAAUAACUACACAAAUAUAAAGUCUGGCAACUGACCCUUGACCUUGAUGUCUGGGAACAAUAUGGUAUGGAGACAAUAGGAUGUGAAAAAGAUGUAAAUGAGGAGUCCUCUACAGUAGCCCCCUCACCCAGGGGGCAAC